ACGCGCAGGAGAUGGAGAGGGCCGGGAUUUUCGGUGGCACGGCAGGACAAGGGAGCCUUCCGAGAGGAAGAACGAACCCACAGGAUGGGGGUCAGCGCUUGCGUUAGGACCGUGGUGUUUGUCGGUCCCCUCCACCCCCCCACUGCUCCGCGAGCAAUGGUUGCGCCGAGCCUGAGCUCCAGCCCCCAGCUUCGCGCCGGCGGGUGCGUCUGAGGAACUUAUAGCCGAUGAGUUGCCUCAUGAAGGGCCGCGCCCACCUCCGAGCUUGGGGCUGGGCACCUUCUCCGACUCCGGUGCGGCCGUGCAGCGUCCGCAAACAGCCCAGGGCGAAGUCCGCCUUCGGGCAGCUCGAUACCAAAAGCCCAGGAAACGGGCGCAAGCCACGAGAGUCUCAAAACGCGGCGUAGCACGCGAACGCGACCCGUCUUUGCGCUCUAAGGACGGCAGGGCCGAAGAAAGAGUAAGCUAUUAGUCUCCAUUGCUGCUGGCAUUCAUGCUGUAAACUUGAAGGGAGCUGCCUAAGGAUGAAUAGGUACUGUGGACAGCACAGAGGAGAGAAGGAAAGAAACUGGGUCAUUAUGACAUUAAGCUGAUAGAUGACCAAACACAGAGCCUGUCCAACAACUGGACUCUUAAUUAUGUCUCCAAUUUGUGAUGGACUUUGGAAGAAGUGUGAGUUCUAGAAAAAGGACUGGGUCAAGGACCUAGGGUAAGACACCUUGGCUUUUAUCUCAGAAUGUCUCAGAGAUAAGCUUUCUUUCUAUUCUUCAGGCUCUAAAAUAAAGCUUUAGGGAUCUUGUUGUUGUUCUAUUAAAGAUACAAGAAGCACAACCAAACCAACCAUAAUCCUAUACUUCAUUUUAUCAGGAUCAUGUAGGAAAAGACCAAAUCUAAUCCUGGAUGUUAAUAUUGCAUCUGUACCUAAAAUACAAAGAUCUGAAGGAGUGGUAUCUGUGAGUUGUAGGAUAUGCAUAUAUUCAGCCAAAGCGAUUAACCCUAUUUACUACCACAAACAGUGGAUUAGAGUUCCUAGUGUUUCAUAUAUUUGCCAACUCUGGUAUUGACUGACUUUUAAAUUUUUACUAGUCUGGUGGCUGCAAAUGCUGUCUCACUGUAGUUUUAUUUUGCAGUGUUGGGGUGGGCUCUCAUGAGCCAGUGACAUCACAGUGUGAUUGUGUUCAGUGACAUCAUGUUGGUCGUUUGAUUCAUCAUAUGAUAUUUACCCCAUGGAAAUCAGCAAACAUUACAAAUCAGGGCUUUCCCCUCUGGAGAGCCAAGUGUUAAAGAUUACCUACCUAUAUACCAUUGUUGAUAAGGUUAAAUAUUUUCUCAUGUAUUUAUG